GAAAAGAAAAAAAUAAAAAAGUUCGAAUACCCUCUGCUAGGGUUCUGUUUUUGCGCCGCCGUUGCUAUUAACCAAUCGGCCAGUUCGGAUCCUGGCCGUUAAAGGCGAAGCGAGCUUCGGGUUUCAUCGGCAAGACCAUGCAGGUAAGCCUCUUCCCUUUUCUUUUAUUAUUAUUAAUUUUUAAAACAGAACAAAUGAAAUAAAGAGAAUAAAAAACGAAGAAAAAAUUUCACCUUGAAUCAAAAAACAAUCUGUAUUCAAUGCUUUUUUUCUAUUUCUUGUGUAUUUUCUCCCUUAAUACCCUCUUCCCCCUGUUUAAAAAAAUACUAGCUUUAUAUAUAGCCGAAAAGAAAAAAUAAAGUGAAUAAAUCUGUUUAUUUUUUGCUGUUUUUCUCUUUGCGGACUCCUUGAGUCUGUGUUUGCAGGCGUGUGGGGAGCAAACGUGUGUGGAGAGGCCCUCCGAGUCUUACGACGAUCGGAGUCCUUGCUGGAGGCAAGGGCUUGCUGCGGCUAGGGUUCUUCUUUUUUUUUAUUUCAAUUUUGCUGUAUUGGGCUGCUAGUUACUGAGUUUAGAGUUUGGGUCUGUUAGGUAGUUUGGGCCUGAGUGUUAUAAUGUAAAGUGGGUGUUGGAUUGGACCUGGGCACAUUUGGGUUUAUACAAUGUAUAUAUAUAAAAUGAAAUUUAAAAGGUAGAUAGGAGUAAAUAAUAAUAACAAUAAUUAAUAAUGUUGAUAAUGGUAUUAAAUUGAUUAAUUUCAAUGAAAAAGCAACCAAAAUAAUAAAGAAAUG
rnacentral:lncRNA from 1 species